CAGGAGAAGUUAUGUUGGGUGUUGGUGAUUGUUUGUGUGUUUGUCUGUUUCCAGGAGAAGUUAUGUUGGGUGUUGGUGAUUGUUGUGUGUUUGUCUGUUUCCAGGAGAAGUUAUGUUGGGUGUUGGUGAUUGUUGUUGUGUUUGUCUGUUUCCAGGAGAAGUUAUGUUGGGUGUUGGUGAUUGUUGUGUGUUUGUCUGUUUCCAAGAAGUUAUGUUGGGUGUGGUGAUUGUUGUGUGUUUGUCUGUUUCCAGGAGAAGUUAUGUUGGGUGUUGGUGAUUGUUGUGUGUUUGUCUGUUUCCAGGAGUUAUGUUGGGUGUUGUUGGUUGUUGUUUGUGUGUCUGUUUCCAGGAGUAAUGUUGGGUGUUGCUUGUUGUUUGUGUGUCUGUAUCCAGGAGGAGUAAUGUUGGGUGUUGGUUGUUUCUUGUUUGUCUGUUUCCAGGAGGAGUUAUGUGUGGUGUUGUUGGUUGUUGUUUGU
rnacentral:lncRNA from 1 species